UACAGCGGCAUAAUGAUGUAAAGGGGAAAACAGCAGCUGUCAUAGACUCCUUUGUAAUGUCAGCAAUAUGGAAUUGGAAGCCACCCAGACUGCAGAUGGAUUUCAAGACAUAUGAUGUUGCCGUGGGGAUAAUAAGAGCCAUUAUUGGAUUCUGGUGGUUCUGUAUCCCAAAGAAAAAUGUUGCCUGUUCCUGGAUCCUUUGGAAGAAACCAAAGCAGAUCAGAAAACAUGGCAGGAGACAACAAGAGCCUUUCUGCGAAAGAAGGGUCACAAUAUUUUGAGGUGGUCCUGCAGCACUCUGCCUCACUC